AGAGUUUGAUCAUGGCUCAGAUUGAACGCUGGCGGCAUGCCUAACACAUGCAAGUCGAACGGGUUGUACUUCGGUACAGCUAGUGGCGGACGGGUGAGUAACACAUAGGAAUCUGCCCGAGAGUGGGGGAUAACCCAGGGAAACUUGGAUUAAUACCGCAUGAUCUCUACGGAGCAAAGCUGGGGACCUUCGGGCCUGGCGCUUUUGGAGGAGCCUAUGUCUGAUUAGCUUGUUGGUGAGGUAACGGCUCACCAAGGCGACGAUCAGUAACUGGUCUGAGAGGACGACCAGUCACACCGGAACUGAGACACGGUCCGGACUCCUACGGGAGGCAGCAGUGGGGAAUAUUGGACAAUGGGCGAAAGCCUGAUCCAGCAAUGCCGCGUGUGUGAAGAAGGCCUUCGGGUUGUAAAGCACUUUAGGAUGGAAAGAAAAAACUUCAGUUAAUAGCUGAAGUCUUGACGGUACCAUCAGAAUAAGCACCGGCUAACUCUGUGCCAGCAGCCGCGGUAAUACAGAGGGUGCAAGCGUUAAUCGGAUUUACUGGGCGUAAAGCGUGUGUAGGUGGUGGCGUAAGUCGAUUGUGAAAUCCCCGGGCUCAACCUGGGAACUGCUUUCGAUACUGCGUCACUAGAGUACGGUAGAGGGUGGUGGAAUUUCCGGUGUAGCGGUGAAAUGCGUAGGUAUCGGAAGGAACAUCAAUGGCGAAGGCAACCACCUGGGCCUGUACUGACACUGAGACACGAAAGCGUGGGGAUCAAACAGGAUUAGAUACCCUGGUAGUCCACGCCGUAAACGAUGACAACUUGACGUUGGUUUGCUUAGCGAAUCAGCGUCGUAGCUAACGCGAUAAGUUGUCCGCCUGGGGAGUACGGCCGCAAGGUUGAAACUCAAAGGAAUUGACGGG
rnacentral:rRNA from 1 species